UACGUAGGCAGCAAGCGUUGUUCGGAGUUACUGGGCGUAAAGGGCGCGCAGGCGGCCCUUGAAGUCAGGCGUGAAAGCCCCGGGCUCAACCUGGGAGGUGCGCUUGAUACUCGAGGGCUUGAGUGCGGGAGAGGAGAGUGGAAUUCCCAGUGUAGAGGUAGAAAUUCGUAGAUAUUGGGAAGAACACCGGUGGCGAAGGGCGGCUACUCUGGACCGUAACUGACGCUGAGGCGCGAAAA
rnacentral:rRNA from 1 species